rnacentral:rRNA from 1 species
UGGCGGACGGGUGAGUAAUGUCUGGGAAACUGCCUGAUGGAGGGGGAUAACUACUGGAAACGGNAGCUAAUACCGCAUAACGUCGCAAGACCAAAGAGGGGGACCUUCGGGCCUCUUGCCAUCAGAUGUGCCCAGAUGGGAUUAGCUAGUANGUGGGGUAACGGCUCACCUANGCGACGAUCCCUAGCUGGUCUGAGAGGAUGACCAGCCACACUGNGAACUGAGACACGGUCCAGACUCCUACGGGAGGCAGCAGUGGGGAAUAUUGCACAAUGGGCGCAAGCCUGAUGCAGCCAUGCCGCGUGUGUGAAGAAAGCCUUCCGGUUGUAAAGCACUUUC